AGGGAUGCAACACGAAUACAUUCCGAGAGAUCACCCAUCCUAGUACUACUCUCGUCCAAGCACGCUUAACUGCAGAGUUCUGAUGGGAUCCGGUGCAUUAAUGCUGGUAUGAUCGCAUCC
rnacentral:rRNA from 1 species